CCUGGAGAAAAUGAACAGUAGUAGACGCUCUACUGUCCCAGGCCCUUUGAAGUAUCCACCGUCUCUGUGUUUUGUGCUGGGAAUGCUCCACUUUCCCAGGCAUCCUGAACUACUCACCGUGUGCUCUGACUGCACCUGGUUUAAUUUGCGUAAAAUCUGAGUGAAGUCCGGUGCAGCGUUGCUAAAUGUGGAGGGAGCUUCAGGCUUCAGACAGACUGUUGGUCAAACAAAACGCCGCGUGGAGACGCCACCGCGAGGGACUGUGUUUAACAAAGUUCCCCUCUGGGAGUAUCCAGCAGCAGUCUGUCUGAGCAGUGACGAACGUCUGACUUGAGGUUUUGAUAAGUGGAAAGGAAACAUUGUGCAAUUCAGAUAAAGUGAUUCAUAAAGGAGUAGCCCAGAGUUGCUUCAUCAAAAUGUCCAAAUGAUUUUUGGCAGGGUGCAAGGAAUUAAUGAACAUGAUACUCUUAU